rfam:Cupriavidus sp. HPC(L) contig34, whole genome shotgun sequence.
GAAGCAGGACAGACAACCGCUGCUCGCCUGGCAACGGGCGAGGGGAGGAAAGUCCGGACUCCACAGGGCAGGGUGGUGGCUAACAGCCAUCCACGGCAACGUGCGGAAUAGGGCCACAGAGACGAGUCUUCGCGCCGGGUUCGCCCGGUGCGAAGGGUGAAACGCGGUAACCUCCACCCGGAGCAAUCCCAAAUAGGCAGACGAUGAAGCGGCCCGCCGAGUCUGCGGGUAGGGAGCUGGAGCCGGCCGGUAACGGUCGGCCUAGAGGAAUGGUUGUCACGCGCGCGCGGACCGCAAGGCCCGCGCGUCGCGCACAGAAUCCGGCUUAUCGGCCUGCUUCGCUU